rnacentral:tRNA from 1 species
GCCGAGGUAGUCUAGCCUGGCCAAGACGGUUGCUUCGAACGCAACUGUCCGAGAGGACUCGAAAGUUCAAAUCUUUCCCUCGGCG